rnacentral:rRNA from 1 species
UAGUAACUGCGAGUGAAGCGGGAAAAGCUCAAAUUUAAAAUCUGGCAGCCUUCGGUUGUCCGAGUUGUAGUCUGGAGAAGCGUUUUCCGCGCUGGACCGUGUACAAGUCUCCUGGAACGGAGCGUCAUAGAGGGUGAGAAUCCCGUCUUUGACACGGACUACCAGUGCUUUGUGAUGCGCUCUCAAAGAGUCGAGUUGUUUGGGAAUGCAGCUCAAAAUGGGUGGUAAACUCCAUCUAAAGCUAAAUAUUGGCGAGAGACCGAUAGCGAACAAGUACCGUGAGGGAAAGAUGAAAAGCACUUUGGAAAGAGAGUUAAACAGUACGUGAAAUUGCUGAAAGGGAAACGCUUGAAGUCAGUCGCGUUUGCUAGAACUCAGCCUGGCUUCGGCUUGGUGCAUUUUCUAGUGAACGGGCCAGCAUCACUUUUGGUUGCGGGAUAAAGGUCGCAGAAAUGUGGCACCCUCGGGUGUGUUAUAGUCUGCGGCUGUAUACCGUGGCUGGGAGUGAGGAACUCAGCACGCGCAAGCUGUGCUUAGGAUGCUGGCGUAAUGGCUUUAAACGACCCGUCUUGAAACACGGACCAAGGAGUCUAACAUGCCUGCGAGUG